ACAUGCUUCUUUAUAUCCCCAUAGGGAUUACUUUGCUAUGGAAUGUAAGGAAGUGUGUGG
ensembl:miRNA